AGAGUUUGAUCCUGGCUCAGGAUGAACGCUAGCGGCAGGCUUAACACAUGCAAGUCGAGGGGCAGCAUAAUGCAUAGCAAUAUGUAUGAUGGCGACCGGCGGACGGGUGCGUAACGCGUAUGCAACUUUCCCAUCACAGGGGGAUAAUCUGGAGAAAUUCGGUCUAAUACCCCAUAACAUCAGGCAGGGCAUCCUGUUUGGUUGAAAUUUUCGGAGGUGAUGGAUGGGCAUGCGUAGCAUUAGCUUGUUGGUGAGGUAAUGGCUCACCAAGGCGACGAUGCUUAGGGGGACUGAGAGGUUAACCCCCCACACUGGGACUGAGACACGGCCCAGACUCCUACGGGAGGCAGCAGUGAGGAAUAUUGGUCAAUGGACGGAAGUCUGAACCAGCCAUGCCGCGUGCAGGAAGACGGCUCUAUGAGUUGUAAACUGCUUUUGUACGAGGGUAAAGUGAGGCACGUGUGCCUUUUUGAAAGUAUCGUACGAAUAAGGAUCGGCUAACUCCGUGCCAGCAGCCGCGGUAAUACGGAGGAUCCGAGCGUUAUCCGGAUUUAUUGGGUUUAAAGGGUGCGCAGACGGCGCGGUAAGUUAGAGGUGAAAGCACGGUGCUUAACAUCGUAAUUGCCUCUGAUACUGUCGUGCUGGAGAUUGGUUGCGGAAGGCGGAAUGUGUGGUGUAGCGGUGAAAUGCUUAAAUAUCACACAGAACCCCGAUUGCGAAGGCAGCUUUCCAAGCCACAUCUGACGUUCAUGCACGAAAGCGUGGGUAGCGAACAGGAUUAGAUACCCUGGUAGUCCACGCAGUAAACGAUGAUUACUCGUUGUCGGCGAUAUACGGUCGGUGACUAAGCGAAAGCGAUAAGUAAUCCACCUGGGGAGUACGUUCGCAAGAAUGAAACUCAAAGGAAUUGACGG
rnacentral:rRNA from 1 species